CUUCAACGAGCCGAGCCACAACGGCCGUUCCGGGUCCCGGCCCUGUCCGUACGUGGCGAGAAGCGCCUGCGCCUC
rnacentral:antisense_RNA from 1 species